AGCUUUUAGCUGCCAGCCCUGGCCCAUCAUGUAGCUGCAGCACAGCCUUCCCUAACGUUGCAACUGGGGGAAAAAUCACUUUCCAGUCUGUUUUGCAAGGUGUGCAUUUCCAUCUUGAUUCCCUGAAAGUCCAUCUGCUGCAUCGGUCAAGAGAAACUCCACUUGCAUGAAGAUUGCACGCCUGCAGCUUGCAUCUUUGUUGCAAAACUAGCUACAGAAGAGAAGCAAGGCAAAGUCUUUUGUGCUCCCCUCCCCCAUCAAAGGAAAGGGGAAAAUGUCUCAGUCGAAAGGCAAGAAGCGAAACCCUGGCCUUAAAAUUCCAAAAGAAGCAUUUGAACAACCUCAGACCAGUUCCACACCACCUCGAGAUUUAGACUCCAAGGCUUGCAUUUCUAUUGGAAAUCAGAACUUUGAGGUGAAGGCAGAUGACCUGGAGCCUAUAAUGGAACUGGGACGAGGUGCGUACGGGGUGGUGGAGAAGAUGCGGCACGUGCCCAGCGGGCAGAUCAUGGCAGUGAAGCGGAUCCGAGCUACAGUAAAUAGCCAGGAACAGAAACGGCUACUGAUGGAUUUGGAUAUUUCCAUGAGGACGGUGGACUGUCCAUUCACUGUCACCUUUUAUGGCGCACUGUUUCGGGAGGGUGAUGUGUGGAUCUGCAUGGAGCUCAUGGAUACAUCACUAGAUAAAUUCUACAAACAAGUUAUUGAUAAAGGCCAGACAAUUCCAGAGGACAUCUUAGGGAAAAUAGCAGUUUCUAUUGUAAAAGCAUUAGAACAUUUACACAGUAAGCUGUCUGUCAUUCACAGAGGUAAGCAUCCAUGAGCUGCCUUGGCUGUUCCUUUGAUAAAGUUCAUUUCUUUCACCUGGAGUCCCUCCCUACCCCCAAUCCCCCAUGGAUGGAAGUAGAAUUGACUCAGGCAAGAGAACUGAGGGGCUUUCCUUUGAGACUGGAUAGCAAACCAUAUAAGUAGUAUUCCUUAUCGUGGCUGAGGACAUAAGAAGACGACGUGAUCUUUGUCUUACAUCCAAAUUGAAUAUAAACACUUGUUAGCAAGCAGAGCUGUGAGAUUAUAUCACUGAGAAUUUUAGAGAAUACGAUAAAAAUCGAUCUUGUAUUGGCCAUCACAUGAGUGCUUGUUGGAAAAGAAUCAUGGGUCUCAAGAUCAAAUGAAUGGAAUUUGCAUUUUAACAGGAUUUCCAGGUGAUUCUUGUGCACAUGAAAGUGUGAAAAUCUCUGGUAUAAAGUAGAGCCCUUUCAGACAACAGGAGGCAGGAUAUAAUGAUUUAUCUCUUCCUCUUUCCUUUUCUUCCUUCUUAUUGGCCUGUUAUCUCUUCAACCAGCCAUUCAUCCAUCCAUCCAUUCAUUCAUUUUCUAUCCACCCAUUCAUCCAUUUAUUCAUCUUUUAAAAUCACUUUUAAAAUGUAAUAGAUCCCCUGAGAGGUAUCUGAGAAGAAAAUAUAUUCUGAUUAAAUUAUGCAUCAGGAUUCUUAUAGGGAGGUAAGAUAAAUAUACAAAAAAAAAAAAAAAAAAAAA
rnacentral:sRNA from 1 species